UCCGGUUUGUCACCGGCAGUCCCAUUAGAGUGCCCAACUUAAUGUGGCAACUAAUGGCAAGGGUUGCGCUCGUUGCGGGACUUAACCCAACAUCUCACGACACGAGCUGACGACAGCCAUGCAGCACCUGUCACCAGGUUCCUUACGGCACCCCCAAAUCUCUUCGGGGUUCCUGGGAUGUCAAGGCCAGGUAAGGUUCUUCGCGUUGCGUCGUAUUAAGCAACAUGCUCCGCCGCUUGUGCGGGCCCCCGUCGAUUCCUUUGAGUUUUAGCCUUGCGGCCGUACUCCCCAGGCGGGGCACUUAAUGCGUUAGCUACGGCACAGAUCCCGUUGGUUGAGACCCACACCUAGUGCCCAACGUUUACGGCGUGGACUAC
rnacentral:misc_RNA from 1 species